rnacentral:rRNA from 1 species
AAUUCGAUUGAGUUUGAUCAUGGCUCAGGACGAACGCUAGCGGCGUGUUUGAAACAUGCAAGUCGAACGGAACAGGCGAGCAAUCUCCUGUUGAGUGGCGAACGGGUGCGUAACACGUAAAGAACCUACCCUCUGGCGGGGGAUAGCCCUGGGAAACCGGGGGUAAUACCGCAUAAGGCCCAUAGGACGCAUGUCCUGUGGGGGAAAGGGACAGAGAUGAGAGUUUCUGUUUCACCGGAGGAAGGCUUUGCGGCCUAUCAGGUAGUUGGUGGGGUAACGGCCUACCAAGCCGAAGACGGGUAGCUGGUCUUAGAGGAUGGUCAGCCACACUGGGACUGAGAUACGGCCCAGACUCCUACGGGGGGCAGCAGUUUAGAAUAUUGUGCAAUGGGCGAAAGCCUGACACAGCGACGCCGCGUGGGUGACGAAGGCCUUCGGGUCGUAAAGCCCUGUUGGUAGGGAGGAGAAAGGACAGUACCUACCAAGAAAGCCCCGGCUAACUACGAGCCAGCAGCUGCGGUAAUACGUAGGGGGGCGAGCGUUGUCCGAAGUUACUGGGCGUAAAGCGCACGUAGGCGGCCUGUUAAGAUACAUCUCAAAGAUGACAGCUCAACUGUCAAGGGCGGUGUAAGACUGGCAGGCUUGAGGCAAGCAGAAGAGUGUGGAACUCCGAGUGUAGCGGUGGAAUGCGUAGAGAUUCGGAAGAACACCCAUGG